GGGAAUUUUCCGCAAUGGGCGAAAGCCUGACGGAGCAAUACCGCGUGAGGGAUGACGGCCUAUGGGUUGUAAACCUCUUUUUUCAGGGAGGAAUAAAUGACGUGUACCUGAAGAAUAAGCAUCGGCUAACUCCGUGCCAGCAGCCGCGGUAAGACGGAGGAUGCAAGUGUUAUCCGGAAUCACUGAGCGUAAAGCGUCUGUAGGUGGUUUGAUAAGUCAACUGUUAAAUCUUGAGGCUCAACCUCANAAUCNCANUCGAAACUAUNANACUAGAGUAUAGUAGGGGUAAAGGGAAUUUCCAGUGGAGCGGUGAAAUGCGUAGAUAUUGGAAAGAACACCGAUGGCGAAGGCACUUUACUGGGCUAUUACUAACACUCANAGACGAAAGCUAGGGUAGCANAUGGGAUUAGAUACCCCAGUANUCA
rnacentral:rRNA from 1 species